rnacentral:misc_RNA from 1 species
UACGUAGGCGGCAAGCGUUGUCCGGAAUUAUUGGGCGUAAAGCGCGCGCAGGCGGUCCUUUAAGUCUGAUGUGAAAGCCCACGGCUCAACCGUGGAGGGUCAUUGGAAACUGGAGGACUUGAGUGCAGAAGAGGAAAGUGGAAUUCCGCGUGUAGCGGUGAAAUGCGUAGAAAUGUGGAGGAACGCCAGUGACGAAGGCGACUUUCUGGUCUGUAACUGACGCUGAGGCGCGAAAGCGUGGGGAGCAAACAGG